UAGAUGCAUUUCUAAGUCGCGCCGUAAUAAAUCGCAUAAAUAUCUCCAACGCGAAAACCCACAAAUUUCAGUUGCCAUUUUUUUCAAAAUAAUAUUCAUAUUUUUCCAUUGAUUCCCAUUUUAAAAAUUUGGCAACAUUUUAUGGAAUUUACAGAAAACAGUGCAACGUGAAGAACUAUUUUUUUACACUGAUUAUCGGAGAAAAAAAAGCGAAGCAAAAGGCGUGAAAAGUGUGCUACAGGAAGGAUUCGAAUGAAAAUAAAGGAAUCCUUCGUGGUUGCAGGCGCAACUGUUUGUGGAGGAUCGCUUGAGUGCGCGCGCGUGGACGAUACUCGCUCAAGAGAGUGAGAGAGAGACUUGUUUUAUUUAUUGUUAUUGUCAUUCUCCAUUCGUAAUGAAUGAUUGAUCACAGGAAUAUUCUCAUUAAUUCAACGAUUAGGAAUUACGAGUGAAAUGUAUUUUGGAUUUGUUUUGAACGACAAUUCUCAGAUUGCGAUUUAAUAACAAAUCGAUAGAUAGUUCCUCUGUCUAUCGAAAAGGACAGGAAGUUAAUUCGAAGUAGAGCGAGAACAAGAGGGAGCACAAGAGGGAGGAAAAACGAAAGAGAGAGGGAGGAAAAAGGAUGCUGGGACAUUUGACGUUUCCUAUUCCGGCAUAAUAAUAAUAUUAAUAUUAAUAGUAACGAACGACAAAAUUGACGUUAAUAAUAAUUAACGAUAUAUACAUAUACAUGUGCACAUGGAGACAAUUAAACCGACGCAUGUGAUAAAUACCACCGUGAAAAUUGUGUGAAAAUCAUUUUUUAUGUGAAUAUAAUAUUUUUAAAGAAAAAAGUGAAUGCUUUAUUUUACUUUUUAUAACUAUGUGAUCGAUUCAUUGAUAACCAAAUUUGAAGAGUGUACGAUCAAUUUAUGAAUAAAUAAAUAAUCAAUGAGGGCUGAAGGUAAAGCGAUUGUGAGACGCUGGCGUCCACCACCUUGUCAUUUAAAUUUGUUGAUUAAAAGUUUUGUCAAAUUAAUUCAAACUUUCUUUUUACGAAUUUGAUCAAUUUUUAUUGACAACGAAGAUUAAAAUAUAAACAAAGUGAAGUGGAUUUAGUCCCUUGGAAAUAAUAAUAGAAGAUUACGAUCGAGAGCUUCGAGCGGGAGACGCAUUGCAGCGAGAGAUUCCCGCGCAGGAGAGGAAGACUGGACAAAGCGGAAGAAGCAGAAUAAAUUGAAAGAAGUGAAGAAAAGGAGUGGAGUAAGAGGAAGAAAGAAAUAUUUAGCUCA